AUAAUUACAGAAGAUAUUUUUUGAGACAGACUGUCUAAUCAAUAAGAAUUACAUCGUUUUUCUAUUAAAGCACUAUGGCUAAAUUAUAUAAAAUAUUUUCGUCAAAAUCUGAUUUUUCACUUUUUCUUCCUGUCAUUUAAAAAUCUACACUUUACUCUCUUGUAAAAUAAAAAAUGGUUACAAAAGGGUACGGUGUAAACUGUUAUGACAAAAUGAUCAUUUUAUCCCUUAUUAUUUUUGGCAACAUGAGAAAAGGCUGAAUGCAUUUUUGGCAUAAAAAAUAUAUAAUAAUAUUUUAUAAGCGGAACUUUAACGGACCACUAAUAGCAGAGAGUGAAGUGAUCAUUUUUUAUUUUAUAAGGGGACAAAAUGUAGAUUUUUAAAUGACGGGAGAAAGUAAAAAAUCGAAUUUUGACAGCAAAAUUUUCUGUAAUUUAGCCAAACACCAUUUAUAUAAUUUAUAAAUAUUAUUUCAGACAAGAAAAAAGAACAUAAAUGACAAAAAAAAAAACAGAAAAUGCUAAUACUUUUU
rnacentral:lncRNA from 1 species